ACAAAAAAAGGGGGCCCUUUCCACAGCUGGUCUGUGGGAACACAGAGGGAGCACAGGAGGAAAGAAAAAAAUCUAUGAAUGAGUGUUUGGUGCCCACCGACGGAGGGUGAGGAGGAGUGAGAGACGACAUAAACACCAGAGAAGGGAAGGAGUCUGAAGGGGCCAACAAGAGGGAGGAGAAGGAGGAGGUGCACAAAUGAGAGGAGGGGAAAAAAACGAACUGAGCAGCAGUCAGACGUAAAUAACUGCUGGUCCUCUGAAAGAGUCGGAUUACCUCUAAACGUUGAGAACCAGCGGCCUGCAGAAAGAAGCUGACAGAGAGGAGAGUGUGAUGAGCAACACUAAACUUCAUUUCUCCUGUCAGAGAACAGAGGAUCCCACAGAGCUGAACACAUUCACCAUAGAGCCACAGUCCUUUUUUUGAUCUUGAUCGCCUGCAUCCACUCCUGCUGCUGGAAGCAGAAAUAUCAGGGCUCAAGAGUUCAGCCGCUGUCGACUGUCUGAUUGGGUGAAAGAAAAGCAGAGCCCAAAGCCUCCAACCCUCCUUUUUUCUCCUCCAUGAUGAAAAAUCUUAAGUAAAGAUCACAGGUGGAAAUCAAUAUUUGUUACUGGUUUGUUUGGAGGGAUAAUUUGGGCAUUACAAAUGUAAUGUAAAUGGGACAAAGUGAAGAAAACAUGGGACUCAUCGCUCUGACGUUGGCAGGACUGAUUUCCAAACUGCUGCAACAUCCAGGGACCAGCGCCAUCGGAAUCCAUAUGAAUCCAUGGAGUGGCCCGCCUCAUGGAAAAGCAUUGCAAUGCAGUACAAUGAAACUCUGUGUGGCAGCGUUUUGGACAUGAAAGGACCCAGUAAAAGCUGCUUUGUCCUCCAGUUAAACAGAUACUGAUGUAUUAUAAUUGCGGUUCUUCUGUUUCCAGUUUAUAUUCACUGAUUUAACUGUGACUAAGAAACAUGGAAAGGUUACAUUCCAACAAAAAAUUUGACUUUAUUGUUUUUGAAUUGGGAGAAAAAUGUCAUAAAGAGACCAUUUUAGUUGGAGAAAACACAGAGCGCCAUCUACUGGCUCAUUGAGAGCUUUCUUUUUUACAAAUUGUUCCUCAGAGGUAAAGCCUGAGCUGUUUAUAUUUUAAUAUAACACAUUUCUGUAUAUAAAUAUAUAGAGCUGACACAAAUAGUGUUCUAUGUGGCUGUAGUUGGUUCCUCUAAGUCUAAUUUAAUAAAUGUUGCAUAUAUUUCAUCAAAACAAA